CUUAUGCAUGCAGUCGAACGAGAACGGCGGCUUCGGUCGCUAAGUAAAGUGGCAGACGGCUGAGUAACACGUAAGUAACCAACCCCGGAGCGGGGAAUAAUCAUGAGAAAUCGUGCCUAAUACCCCGUAAGUCCCAACAGGCGUUGCCGUUGGGGGAAAGGCUUCGGUCGCUCCGGGACGGGCUUGCGGCCUAUCAGGUAGUUGGUAGGGUAAUGGCCUACCAAGCCGGAGACGGGUACCCGGUGUGAGAGCACGAACGGGCAGAGGGGGACUGAGACACGGCCCCCACUCCUACGGGAGGCAGCAGCAGGGAAUCUUGCGCAAUGGGCGAAAGCCUGACGCAGCGACACCGCGUGGAGGAAGAAGGCUUUCGGGUCGUAAACUCCUUUUCUCGGGGAAGAGAACGGACGGUACCCGAGGAAUAAGCAUCGGCUAACUACGUGCCAGCAGCCGCGGUAAUACGUAGGAUGCGAGCGUUGUCCGGAUUUACUGGGCGUAAAGGGCGAGUAGGCGGCCCGCUAAGUCUCAUGUGAAAUCUCCCGGCUCAACUGGGAGGGGUCAUGAGAAACUGGCAGGCUUGAGGUCAGCAGAGGAAAGCGGAAUUCCCGGAGUAGCGGUGAUAUGCGUAGAUACCGGGAGGAACACCAGAGGCGAAGGCGGCUUUCUGGGCUGCACCUGACGCUGAGGCGCGAAAGCGUGGGGAGCGAACCGGAUUAGAUACCCGGGUAGUCCACGCCCUAAAUGGUGGAUACUAGACAUGGGGGGUAUCGACCCCCUCUGUGUCGUAGCUAACGCGUUAAGUAUCCCGCCUGGGGAGUACGGCCGCAAGGCUAAAACUCAAAGGAAUUGACGGGGGCCCGCACAAGCAGCGGAGCGUGUUGUUCAAUUCGAUGCCAAGCGAAGAACCUUACCAGGCUUGACAUGUUUCCGACAGUCCCGAAAGGGGAUCUUCCUUCGGGACGGAUUC
rnacentral:rRNA from 1 species